GGGGAAUUUUGGACAAUGGGGGAAACCCUGAUCCAGCCAUGCCGCGUGCGGGAUGAAGGCCUUCGGGUUGUAAACCGCUUUUGUCAGAGACGAAAAGGGACGUACGAAUAAUACGUUCCGCUGACGGUAUCCGAAGAAUAAGCACCGGCUAACUACGUGCCAGCAGCCGCGGUAAUACGUAGGGUGCAAGCGUGAAUCGGAAUUACUGGGCGUAAAGGGUGCGCAGGCGGCUGUGCAAGACAGAUGUGAAAUCCCCGGGCUUAACCUGGGAACUGCAUUUGUGACUGCACGGCUAGAGUUUGUCAGAGGAAGGCGGAAUUCCCGGUGUAGCGGUGGAAUGCGCAGAUAUCGGGAAGAACACCGGUGGCGAAGGCGGCCUUCUGGGCCACAACUGACGCUGAGGAGCGAAAGCUGGGGGAGCGAACA
rnacentral:rRNA from 1 species